rnacentral:lncRNA from 1 species
UCACAGGGCAGUCUGUGAAGACCACAAAUACUGUUUACUACAGUAACUUGGUCACCCACAGAGGAGGCAGGACUCUGGCUCACAGAAGUUUUCAUAGAGCGCCAUCCUGGACAUUACACAGCUGCGGAGAUGAACAAUCAAAGGGAAAACUACCCAGAACCAAGUCUGGCUAAGGACGCCAGGAAACAGCAAAUGAGAGAUUUACCGUCACCUUGAGAGAAGUUCGUUGCCGUGAUCCUGAGAAUCAUCUGUUUUGUCUUGAUGUAUACUCUAGUGAGAGUGAUAACUUUUAUUCCAAAAUGUCAUUCUGGUCAUUGUCCAAAAGACUGGUUACAUAUUCCAGCAACUGCUAUUAUAUUACUUUUGGGAAAAAAAAACAUGGAAUAGGAGUUUGAUAGCCUGUACUUCUAGGAACUCUAUUCUGCUUCAUAUAGACAACGAAGAGGAAAUGGUAAGAUAUUAAAUGUUUCCAACACUUUGCUAAAGGCUUGAUUCAGUAUUAUAUUUGUUAGAAUACACUUUAUGUUUUUGUACAUAUUUGUAGUAUGUUUA